rnacentral:rRNA from 1 species
AUUGAACGCUGGCGGCAGGCCUAACACAUGCAAGUCGAGCGGAUGAAGGGAGCUUGCUCCUGGAUUCAGCGGCGGACGGGUGAGUAAUGCCUAGGAAUCUGCCUGGUAGUGGGGGAUAACGUCCGGAAACGGGCGCUAAUACCGCAUACGUCCUGAGGGAGAAAGUGGGGGAUCUUCGGACAUCACGCUAUCAGAUGAGCCUAGGUCGGAUUAGCUAGUUGGUGGGGUAAAGGCGUACCAAGGCGACGAUCCGUAACUGGUCUGAGAGGGUGAUCAGUCACACUGGAACUGAGACACGGUCCAGACUCCUACGGGAGGCAGCAGUGGGGAAUAUUCGACAAUGGGCGAAAGCCUGAUGCAGCCAUGCCGCGUGUGUGAAGAAGGUCUUCGGAUUGUAAAGCACUUUUAUUUGGGAGGAACGACAGUAAGUUAAUACCUUGCUGUUUUGACGUUACCAACAGAAUAAGCACCGGCUAACUUCGUG